UUUAUUUUUUUUGGGAAGCUGUUUGGUGGUUGUUGGUAAUGACAACACCCAGAGGUUUCAAACAGAGGAAAGAACCUCGCAGCCGUCUCCGAACACCUAAAAAACGUAAUUUUCGGAGGCGUUUUUCCCAAAUUUCCGCCUUUUCCCGGCAGAGGCGGAGCGGCUGCAGCGCCUGGUGGUGCUGUCCCACCGGCACGGGCAGGAGUGCGGGCUCGUGCCCGACGUCCAGCUGCCAACAUCUGGCGGCGCGGCGCCGCUGGUUUGGCAAUGCGCCGCCGGGCACCGCUUCUCGUGGGGCGGCGACUCCGGCGGCGAUUCCGGCGGAGAUUCCGGCGAUUCCGGGCGGAGGCGACGGCGGAGAAGGGACGCGGUGGGAACCAACGAGGACGGAGAGGAGGGAACGGCCGGGGCACCCAAGGGUGACGAGGAGAUGGGAGAUGGGGGAGGCAGCGGCGGAGAGGCCCCUCAGGCGCCGCCGGACCCGGACCCGGCGCUGGCGACCUCCGACAGCGCCGAGCCGGGGGACAAGGUGGAUGAACCCCGAGAGGAAGAGGAGGAUGAAGAUUCUGACCUGGCCUACGGCGACGAUGCGCGCGAUGAGAAUUAUCACCCGUCCUCGGAUAGCCCCUCGGCGCCGCAGCGACGCCAGAACCGACCCAGAACGUGCCGGAAGCCCAUCAAGGAGGAGCCGCCCCUGCCCGGCUCCGUCCCCUUGGAGGAGGAGAGCGGCCGGGCCAGCUGCCGGCGGCCGAGCGACGCAGACACGGCUCAGAUCGGCCCCAAGAGGAUCAGGAAGGCGGCGAAGAGGGAAAUCCUCCUGUGCGACUUCGAGGGAUGCGGAAAAAUCUUCUCCAACCGCCAGUACCUGAACGUGAGCUGCAAUCGGGGAGCUGAUCGGUGCUUUUAUGACAUUUGGAUUUUCAUUUUCAUUUUUAUUUUAUUUUAUUUUUAAUUUUAAUUUUAAUUUUAUUUUUAAUUUCAUUUUAAUUUUAUUUUAAAUUUUUAAUUUUAAUUUUAAUUUUAUUUUUAAUUUUAUUUUUAAUUUUAAUUUUAUUUUAAAUUUUUAAUUUUAUUUUUAAUUGUCUUUUAAAUUUUAUUCUUAAUUUUAUUUUUAAUUUUAUUUUUAAUUUCAUUUUAAUUUUAUUUUAAAUUUUUAAUUUUAUUUUUAAUUUUAUUUUUAAUUUUAUUUUUAAUUUUAAUUUUAUUUUAAAUUUUUAAUUUUAUUUUUAAUUUUA
rnacentral:lncRNA from 1 species